ACAACACUGCAAACAAACAAGCCCAUUCAUCGAAUGGCAACACUUAGAAAAGGUCCUUAGAAAACAAGACACAACAAAGAAUAAAUUAAAAAAACAAAAAAACAAAACAGGCUGCUCUGCUCAACGCCACAUUUUGCAUCACACAAAAUCCAUGUACUUUGACCCGUGAUUCCCAUUUUCCCUUGUUAGUAGUGACACAUUUCGGCUGGUCAGCUCUCCUCGGUAUUGACCUCAGCUCUGAGGAGCAGCUUGAACGGGAACCGUCGCCGUGCAAAUACAUUUCUCAGAGGCCCACCGACGUUGCCGAGGAUGCGAUCGAACGGUUUGAGUCCGGAGCGGUCAGCGGGGCCGUCGGGUCGGAUCAUGUUGACGUAAACGCCUUUCUCCAGAAAGCCAUCUGACACGCUGAAGCCAAAGUCAUCUCGCUCAGGAUCCUUCAUCACGUCUAUGAGGCUGCAUUUCAGGACUGGGAUUGAGGAUCCGUUGCUAUCAGUGGUCCACUGAGAGUUGCUGAUGAUCUGUGAGUUGGAUUACCAGCGUCCACUCUAGGCUACUCUAAUUCUGUCCGUUCAGGACUUCAGAUCCAUGUAUCCAGCGCUUUACAGAGCGGCCCAAAGGACUUGGUUGGACUGUUCAAAGACACCAUGCUCUGUGUUGCUUAGUGCCAAGAGCGCGGCCAUCGUGGACCUGACUUGUUUUUGUUUGUUGUGUUUGUGUACGUCUUUGUGUAAAGCGCCUAUGAAUGGCCUUUUGUUUUUGUUUAUGUCUUGAUGUCUGUGCCUACGGGAACGCUGUUGAGUGAGCCGCUCCGCCUGGCAUCUUCUUUUGUCUGAUUUCAUUUAUGCCCAUCAUGACUUACUAUCUUUGUGUUUUGUGUACUGUAAAUUGUGCAUGUAUUUUUUUUUUUUAUUCCUUUUGUGAAGCGCCCUUGGGGUGUCUUGACAGGAACUUUAUAUACACUGUACCAUAAGCUGUGGCUAUAUUCAUUGUACUGCAACAAAUAACAAUCAGAUAAUUCAUACACUGGUAAUGCUAUGACUUUCAAAGCAGCAGAUAUUGUAAGUGUCUGAGCUGAUGCAGAGAAGAUGCAGGUAAAGCAGCCUGGACUACACAGGGAUAGAGCUCUGAUACCUUACAAAGCCCUUCUGCUGCCCCACAGGCCUCAAGGAAGGCCCUUAAGCCCUCAGAAUGCUCUAGAAGCUUUACCCUUCAACGGCCGUACCUCUCCACGCUGAUCCCUCUGAUCUGUCUUUUGGAACAACGCUUAAAACUGAAUCUGGAUCUCAACUGACACUAACACACACACACACACACACACACACACACACAAUAUCUCUCACUCUGACACACAGCAACUGACACAACCUCGAUUAAUUAAGCUGCUAAAGAACUUGUACAACAACUGUUGCAACUUGUAUAGAUGCAAAAGCAACUGCAACCCAAACAUCUCCGUUGUUAGCAUUCUUUUACAUUUGGCAUCUGUCUCAAUGGCUGUGUGUGGCCUCAUCAGAAGCAGCUAUCCUGAGUUUUGUACAUAUACUGUACAUCUAGAUCUAUUCAUGUUACUGAUGCCUUCCCACUUGAACAAAACCCCAUAUCCCUAAAAGCCCAGAGAUUUGAUGUCAUUCAGCUAUGUCUCUAUGGUUCAAAUGACAAAUAUCUCAAAGACUCAAAUUUGUCUCACAUGUCACCCACAUAUCUCCUAAACAUAUAUAUCUCAUAUGUCUCCCAAACAUUUCUCGCACAGUAGCUGUCUAGUUUGGACCAGUGGAUACUGCAGUCAGUCAAACAGACACCUGAGACGGGCACCUUGAGGAGCUCCAGCGGUGUGGGCGACAGGAUCUCCUGCAUCUCCUCCUUGAUGCGCCGCGACUCCCACGUCUUGUCGGAGACGCGCAGCGUGUUCUUGCUCUUGCCCUCGUGCAGCAGCGGGCCCUUCUGGAGAGGGCUCAGGCCCACAGGGCCCAGCGGGUCCCCGUGGGGGGGCUUGUGCCCGUCCACGCCCAGGCUCAGGGCACUGCCCGUCAUUAUGGAGGCCUGUGGGGGGGGGGGGGUCAGAGGUCACUGCCAUGUGAACACCGCAAAGUUUCAUUUUGGAAAACAGUUAAGCACUCAAGCCAAAGAUCUGCUUUAACCCUCUCUGCUCAAGCUUUUGAGCUUAGGGUUGAGGAAAUAAGUUACCAUCCCUAACAACAUGGGCAUAUACAGUACGACCCAAAAUCUGAAAAAGUUGGGACGCUUUAUAAAAUGUGAAUAACAAAAGAUUUCCAGAAUAACAAAAGAAUGUCACCCCUAUAUUUAAUUGGGAAGACAACAUAUCAACUGUUGAA